UUGGGGGUUUUCUUUGUCUCUGGGCAGUUUCUCUCCAGCUAUUGAGGGGAACAGACACUAUGUCUCUCCCCAAGAAGAGACUCUUCACAGUCUAAUGCAUUACAUUUCCAGCUCACCAAAGGACCAUCUGACAAAGUCACCCAAAUUUACAGGGCCCAGGUAAGCCUUAAUCCACCACUGCAAAGACACACAGUCAUUUCUUCAGCGAGAACAAUGUGAUAUAAAAUGCAGAUUGAAAGGGUAUGCACAUGUGUGGCGGAGGAGCCCCUCACAGUGGUGAGGGCCAUCAACACUGUCUUGCUGUGCAGGGUCAUCAACCUAGGCAACAUCAUUUCCGGCUUUGUUGACAGGGCUUCCGCCACUGAGGGGGCGCUAUUGAUGGCACCUACAUCUGCAUCUGGACCUCCAACCACCUGGCAGCUAAAUACAUCCACCGGCAGGGGUACUUCUCAAUAGUCCUGUAGGCCAUCUGGGACCAGUGGGGCCAGUUUAUGGACAGCUAUGGCAGGUAGUUGGGGAAAACGCAUGAUAGUCAUGUCUUCCCUUGUUGGCCAGGCUCUUGGCCAUAUAGCCAUAGAUGUCCAUGUUCCUGCGUCUGGUGCAGAGAUCCUGGAGGUUGGUCUUGUCACCCCAGACCUCAGUGAGGUCCAGGAUCUCUGCACCAGACCAGGAAGGGUGCGUCUCUUUUGGCUCCGGGCAGGCUCCUGGGAGCUGUCUGACUGCCCCCUCGGAGCAGUGGAGUGCUAGGUGGGAGUAGCAGACUGAGUCAUUUUGGGCAAAUUCUGAGGCAGGGGCAGCUGCUGGGUGGCUCAGGGCCAUUAGGGCCUCCUGUUUGCCACAAGCCCUUUCCCCUAAGGCUGCAGCUUUAAGGGCUCUGUGCAGACAUAACCACAGAGCACAAGCCCUUAGUGAAGCAGCUGCCCUGCCUGCUGGCUCAUGGAGUCUAACCCCAGCACCAGAGACAGAACCUACUGGAGCAGACCCCAAACCACCACACCUAGUUCCAGAAGGUUCUGGGCAUGGAGUGCUAAAUC